AAAGAAUUUACUGUUUGCGUAGAAGAAGGAAAAAA
rnacentral:sRNA from 1 species